CUACGUGCCAGCAGCCGCGGUAAUACGGGGGGUGCGAGCGUUAAUCGGAAUAACUGGGCGUAAAGGGCACGCAGGCGGUGACUUAAGUGAGAUGUGAAAGCCCCGAGCUUAACUUGGGAAUUGCAUUUCAUACUGGGUCGCUAGAGUACUUUAGGGAGGGGUAGAAUUCCACGUGUAGCGGUGAAAUGCGUAGAGAUGUGGAGGAAUACCGAAGGCGAAGGCAGCCCCUUGGGAAUGUACUGACGCUCAUGUGCGAAAGCGUGGGGAGCAAACAGGAUUAGAUACCCUGGUAGUCCACGCUGUAAACGCUGUCGAUUUGGGGAUUGGGCUUUAAGCUUGGUGCCCGUAGCUAACGUGAUAAAUCGACCGCCUGGGGAGUACGGCCGCAAGGUUAAAACUCAAAUGAAUUGACGGGGGCCCGCACAAGCGGUGGAGCAUGCGGAUUAAUUCGAUGCAACGCGAAGAACCUUACCUACUCUUGACAUCCAUGGAAUCCUGUAGAGAUACGGGAGUGC
rnacentral:rRNA from 1 species